GAAUUUUUUAGAACUGCGAAAGAAAUGUUGAAGGUAAAAAUUUUGGUUGGAGUGAAGGGUUUUGUAUAUCGUAAAAUUUGUUCAAAUACUAUGUUCAGGGGCUACAAAAAGUGUCAUUUUAUUUUUUUACUCAAGAAUGCUAAAAUGCGAAUAAUCGUCAAACGACGAAAAAGAUGUGACGAAGAAUAAUGAGAAGAAGGAACAACAAAGCUUUGACGAAACUAAAGUACAAUGGAUACGACACGACCCCUUAAAAGAACGCUCAUACAGCAAAAACUUCGAGUUCUUCGAAUUUAUCACUUGAUGGAAUUCUGCAUUUGUUUGAACUAUCAGGCAACGAUCAUGUCCAUUCGCUGGAAAAAGGCAUUUCUAUGACGUCCACAACUAAUGAAAACCCAAA